CCUACGGGAGGCUGCAGUAGGGAAUAUUGCUCAAUGGGCGAAACCCUGAAGCAGCAACGCCGCGUGGGGGAUGAAGGUUUUAGGAUUUGAAAAUCCUUUUGUUAGAGAAGCUAAUGACGGUAUCUCACGAAUAAGCACCAGCUAACUCCGUGCCAGCAGCCGCGGUUAUACGGCGGGCGGAAGCGUUACUCGGAAUCAAUGGGGGUAAAGCGUGCGCAGGGGGGCUUGUAGGUCCGAUGUGAAAUCGUUUAGCUUAAAUAACGAACUGCAGUUGAAACUAGGCGUCUAGAGUGAGGGAGAGGUAGGUGGAAUGCGUGGUGUAGCGGUAAAAUGCGUAGAUAUCACGAGGAAUACUCAUUGCGAAGGCGACCUACCGGAACAUAACUGACGCUGAGGCACGAAAGCGUGGGGAGCAAACAGGAUUAGAUACCCGUGUAGUC
rnacentral:rRNA from 1 species